CAGCAGCCACGGGAAUACGUAGGGUGCGAGCGUUAAUCGGAAUUACUGGGCGUAAAGCGUGCGCAGGCGGUGAUGUAAGACAGUUGUGAAAUCCCCGGGCUCAACCUGGGAACUGCAUCUGUGACUGCAUCGCUGGAGUGCGGCAGAGGGGGAUGGAAUUCCGCGUGUAGCAGUGAAAUGCGUAGAUAUGCGGAGGAACACCGAUGGCGAAGGCAAUCCCCUGGGCCUGCACUGACGCUCAUGCACGAAAGCGUGGGGAGCAAACAGGAUUAGAUACCCCCGUAGUCCCUGUCUCUUAUAC
rnacentral:rRNA from 1 species